AAAUGAAUAGACGGGGACCCGCACAAGCGGUGGAGCAUGUGGUUUAAUUCGAAGCAACGCGAAGAACCUUACCAGGUCUUGACAUCCCUUGACAACGCUAGAAAUAGCGCGUUCCCUUCGGGGACAAGGUGACAGGUGGUGCAUGGUUGUCGUCAGCUCGUGUCGUGAGAUGUUGGGUUAAGUCCCGCAACGAGCGCAACCCUUAUUAUUAGUUGCCAGCAUUCAGUUGGGCACUCUAGUGAGACUGCCGGUGAUAAACCGGAGGAAGGUGGGGAUGACGUCAAAUCAUCAUGCCCCUUAUGACCUGGGCUACACACGUGCUACAAUGGCAUAUACAACGAGUCGCUAACCCGCGAGGGUACGCUAAUCUCUUAAAGUAUGUCUCAGUUCGGAUUGUAGGCUGCAACUCGCCUACAUGAAGUCGGAAUCGCUAGUAAUCGCGGAUCAGAACGCCGCGGUGAAUACGUUCCCGGGUCUUGUACACACCGCCCGU
rnacentral:rRNA from 1 species